rnacentral:rRNA from 1 species
AUUGCCUCAGUAACGGCGAGUGAAGCGGCAACAGCUCAAAUUUGAAAUCUGGCUCCUUCGGGGUCCGAGUUGUAAUUUGCAGAGGAUGCGUCGGGUACGGGUCCCUACCGAGUUCCCUGGAACGGGACGCCAUAGAGGGUGAGAGCCCCGUCUGGUAGGAUACCCAGCCCAUGUGACGCUCCCUCGACGAGUCGAGUAGUUUGGGAAUGCUGCUCUAACGGGAGGUAUACUCCUUCCAAAGCUAAAUACCGGCUGGAGACCGAUAGCGCACAAGUAGAGUGAUCGAAAGAUGAAAAGCACUUUGAAAAGAGAGUCAAACAGCACGUGAAAUUGUUAAAAGGGAAGCACUCGCUACCAGACUUGGGUUUGGCGGUUCAACCGGGGCCACGCCCCGGGGCAUUCCGCCAGCUCAGGCCAGCAUCAGCUUUCCGUCGGGGGCAAAGACGUCGGGAAUGUGGCUCCCCCUCGGGGGAGUGUUAUAGCCCGGCGUGUCAUACCCUUCGGGGGGCUGAGGUACGCGCUUCUGCAAGGAUGCUGGCGUAAUGGUAGCUAGUGACCCGUCUUGAAACACGGACCAAGGAGUCAACCUUAUGUGCGAGUGCCCGGGCGUAAAACCCCAGCGCGGAAUGAAAGUGAACGUAGGUGAGAGCUUCGGCGCAUCACCGACCGAUCCUGAUGUCCUCGGACGGAUUUGAGUGAGAGCAUAUAGGGUUGGACCCGAAAGAAGAUGAACUAUGCGUGUGUAGGGUGAAGCCAGAGGAAACUCUGGUGGAGGCUCGCAGCGGUUCUGACGUGCAAAUCGAUCGUCAAACAUGCGCAUGGGGGCGAAAGACUAAU